UCGGGCCGGGGGAGGCGGAGGUCGCUGUUUCGUUCUCUGGCUGGUGCGAUCUCGGCGGUCCGCGGCAGGUCGGUCGCGAAAGCGGACGCUGCAGGGGGGCGAGGCUAUGUCGCGGCUGCAGCCCGUAUGGGCCGGCAGGGCCUGGAGUAACGGGACGUCGCCGCGAAGCUUCUUCCCCCGGAUACAGUGCGGCCCUAGUGGAGGCCGCGGCGCCGCCCUCCAGUCCUGAAGAACCCGCGCUGCGCAGAGCCCGCGCCGCCGUCACCUCGGCACCGACACUAAGCAACCCAGCUAGCUUGGCUUGAUCUAGCCCAUUUUUGGCAGGUAGCGCUGCACUAGUCCCACUGGCACAAGAAGCUCCCUUCCCAAAGGACAUGAAGCUAUUGGAGAACUCCAGCUUUGAGGCCAUCAACUCACAGUUGACAGUGGAGACUGGAGAUGCCCAUAUUAUUGGCAGCAUGUUUCAUGGCCCUGCCUGCGUCUUUUAGGAUCGAAAGCUAUUCCUGUAAGAUGGCAGGCGACGAUAAGCAUAUGUUUAAGCAGUUCUGCCAGGAGGGCCAGCCCCAUGUGCUGGAGGCACUGUCCCCGCCCCAGACCUCAGGCCUCAGUCCCAGCAGACUGAGCAAGAGCCAGGGUGGUGAGGAUGAAAGUCCUCUAAGUGACAAGUGCAGUCGUAAGACCCUCUUCUAUCUGAUUGCCACCCUCAACGAGUCCUUCCGGCCAGACUAUGACUUCAGCACAGCCAGAAGUCACGAAUUCAGCCGGGAGCCAAGCCUCCGCUGGGUGGUAAAUGCGGUCAACUGCAGCCUGUUUUCAGCUGUUCGGGAAGACUUCAAGGCCCUGAAGCCACAGCUGUGGAAUGCAGUGGACGAGGAAAUCUGCUUGGCUGAAUGUGACAUCUACAGCUAUAACCCAGAUCUAGACUCCGACCCCUUUGGGGAAGAUGGAAGCCUCUGGUCAUUCAACUACUUCUUCUACAACAAGCGACUUAAACGAAUUGUCUUCUUUAGCUGCCGCUCCAUCAGUGGCUCCACCUACACACCCUCAGAGGCAGGCAACGCCCUGGACUUGGAACUGGGGGCAGAAGAGGUUGAUGAAGAGAGUGGAGGUGGAGGUGGAGGUGGUGAGGGCAGGGCGGAGGAGACCAGCACCAUGGAGGAAGACAGGUGUGGCGGAGGUGGCUGUGGCCAUGGCCCUAUCCUCGGGAGCCUGGAAUGGGUGGAGUAGAUUAGGGUUCCUUUUGCCUGGCCUGGUUGCUAUCUCCUAAAGGCCUACUGUGUGCCAACUUCUGCCUAGGGUUCCAGUGAUAUGUAUGUGAUGAGAAGAAGCGGAGGGCCCAGCUUUCCAGCUUCGACCAGUGCCUGGACCUGUCUACCCGAGGAGCUCCAGAGACUCCCCAGAUGCCGGCUACGCCUUGGCACUGCCUAAGGCUAUACCUGCCUAGCCCUUUGGUUUCAGCCUGUGGAUGUCCACUCACCCCUGCAGGCUCCUACUGCCCAUGCUGUGGCUGGAUCAAGCAGCACGGGGUCUGAUAGAAAAAGUGACUGCUCUGCACCAACGGUCUGUCACAGACAGGACAGCUGGACCACAGAGUUUAUUUUUGUAUUUCUUAUUGGGCCUGUACACUCCAGCUCUAAGGGCCAGUAGUUUGAAGGCCCUAUAAGUGGUGCCCAGUGUUUAUGGGGUCUGGUCUUUGACCAACCCCUGGUGCCCACUUUUGCCCCCCACUUCACCAGGUGGGACACAUGCACUGAGUGUCACUUUGCUGCAGCUCAUUUGUUUCCAAUAAAAGUUUCUGUGACUU
rnacentral:lncRNA from 1 species